rnacentral:rRNA from 1 species
UACGUAGGGACCGAGCGUUGUCCGGAAUCAUUGGGCGUAAAGAGCGUGUAGGCGGCUCGCUAAGUCUUGCGUGAAAUCUCGGGGCUCAACCCCGAGCGGUCGUGAGAAACUGGCGAACUGGAGUGUGGCAGAGGGGGGUGGAAUUCCGCGUGUAGCAGUGAAAUGCGUAGAGAUGCGGAGGAACACCGAUGGCGAAGGCAGCCCCCUGGGCUGACACUGACGCUCAGGCACGAAAGCGUGGGGAGCAAACAGG